GUGGGGAAUUUUGGACAAUGGGCGCAAGCCUGAUCCAGCAAUGCCGCGUGCAGGAAGAAGGCCUUCGGGUUGUAAACUGCUUUUGUACGGAACGAAAAGGCUCUGGUUUAUACCUGGGGCUCAUGACGGUACCGUAAGAAUAAGCACCGGCUAACUACGUGCCAGCAGCCGCGGUAAUACGUAGGGUGCAAGCGUUAAUCGGAAUUACUGGGCGUAAAGCGUGCGCAGGCGGUUUUGUAAGACAGACGUGAAAUCCCCGGGCUCAACCUGGGAAUGGCGUUUGUGACUGCAAAGCUGGAGUGCGGCAGAGGGGGAUGGAAUUCCGCGUGUAGCAGUGAAAUGCGUAGAUAUGCGGAGGAACACCGAUGGCGAAGGCAAUCCCCUGGGCCUGCACUGACGCUCAUGCACGAAAGCGUGGGGAGCAAACAGGAUUAGAUACCCUAGUAGUCC
rnacentral:rRNA from 1 species